GAAAAAAAGGCCGGGCGCGGUGGCUCACGUCUGUAAUCCCAGCGCUUUGGGAGUCUGAGGCGGGCGGAUCACAAGGUCAGGAGAUCGAGACCAUCCUGGCUAAUACGGUGAAACCCCAUCUCUAUUAAAAAUACAAAAAAAUUAGCAGGGCAUGGUGGCAGGCGCCUGUAGUCCCAGCUACUCAGGAGGCUGAGGCAGGAGAAUGGCGUGAACCCGGGAGGCGGAGGUUGCAGUGAGCCGAGAUCGCGCCACUGCACUCCAGCCUGGGCGACAGAGUGAGACUCUGUCUCAAAAAAAAAAAAAAAAAAAAAAAAGAAAAAAGAUGAAAGAAAUGGGUUCUUUAAAUCUCACUUUCAUCAUUCAAUCCACUGUCAGUGAGACAUCUGAUGGUACUUAGUUGCAGAUAUAAAGAAUCCUCAUUUAUAAGUACAGGUCAUUUUAUACCUAUUUUUUUUCAUUUAGCACUGUCAAGUUCCACUAUUUUUUUCAUAAUUCUCUCCAGCACAGUGCUCUAUGUAUAAUAGAUCUUCAAUAAAUGUUAUCAGGAACUUCUUUCUCUAUUCUUAAUCUCUAUGACAUUCAUUCAUUUGUUCAUAUAAGAA
rnacentral:lncRNA from 1 species